rnacentral:rRNA from 1 species
GACGAACGCUGGCGGCGUGCUUAACACAUGCAAGUCGAGCGGUAAGGCCCUUUCGGGGUACACGAGCGGCGAACGGGUGAGUAACACGUGGGUGACCUGCCCUCAGCUCUGGGAUAAGCCUGGGAAACCGGGUCUAAUACUGGAUAUGACUCCAUGACGCAUGUUGUGGGGUGGAAAGCCUUGUGCGGCUGAGGAUGGGCCCGNGGCCUAUCAGCUUGUUGGUGGGGUGANGGCCUACCAAGGCGACGACGGGUAGCCGGCCUGAGAGGGCGACCGGCCACACU